GUGCCGGCGGGAGAGCUGGCUUGGGGCGCUGGCGCCUCUUCUUACAGCUUUACUCCUGCCGGCUUGGGAAAAGGCCGGAGAAGGUGAAAUUCUGUGUGCUCCCUCCGGCGAGAGACUUUGUCAGCUCCCGCACAGUAACGUGGAAGUCCAAGAAUCCGAAUGGAGGCUCACCGAGGCGAAGGGGCCAACCAUGGGAAAGGAGAGUGGAUGGGACUCAGGCAGGGCUGCUGUAGCAGCUGUGGUCGGAGGAGGUGAGUCUCUAUGGGAAGGAACUCAAGCCCCCAUCCCCCGCCUCCCCCCAGCCCUGAGCCUCUGGGAGAAACUGGCUUUGACCAAACCCAGGAUUCUCCAAGACAUAGCUGGGUAGCGGUGGAGUGGGCAGAGUGAUGGGGACCUUAGAGCAGCAGGAAGCAAAGCAAAGCCAUUAAAGGCACAGGGCUUUGGAGGCAGCCAGAGCUGGGGCUACUCUCAGCUUCCACCAAGUACAAACCAUGCAACCCCGGAUGAGUCAUUGGAGCAGUCACAGCCCGGGAUUCCUCCCCGUCUAAAGCAGGGCCCAUGGUAUCCUUGGGGACUUUUGAAGGGAGUAUGUCAGCUGAGCUGUGUCUCAUUCCUCAAAAGUAUUUGACAAAUGCUGGUAGCCCAUCCACUGAGUCAGAAGCUUUUGACCUGCUAUAAAGCAGUGUCCUCCAAUGCAGUGGCCAAAACUAAAGAAAAUCAUAAUGUUUCUCUGUCACCUGCACCACAUUUCAAGUGCUAAACGUGGCUACCCUAGUAGACAGUACAGAAAACAAAUGUGGCCGUGAUUGCAGAUGGCUCUCUGACUGC
rnacentral:sRNA from 1 species